GGACGCCGAAGGUGGGGCUAAUGACUGGGGUGAAGUCGUAACAAGGUAGCCGUACCGGAAGGUGCGGCUGGAUCACCUCCUAACAGGGAGACAACAAAAUGUUUAAUAUUAUUAUUUUGUCACCUUAGGUCGAUCGGUAUCUCACGUUUUUAAUUUAUUAAGAAUUUCAUUUCCUAAGUUUUUCUAGGUCACACCCAUUAUUUUUCCUGGGCCAUUAGCUCAGGUGGUUAGAGCGCACCCCUGAUAAGGGUGAGGUCCCUGGUUCAAGUCCAGGAUGGCCCAUAUCUCUAUGUUGGGGGUAUAGCUCAGUUGGUAGAGCGCCUGCUUUGCAAGCAGGAUGUCAGCGGUUCGAGUCCGCUUACCUCCACUGAUUACCACCUCUUCCAUAAUUUUGUAGAAAGGAAAUGUUUUGAGUUGUGAUCAAUUUCUGAACGAUUCUAGCUUCCUAAUGAAAUCAUUAAGAUGCUGGACUCAUUGAAUUAAUUUCAUUGUUUUCAGAGAACCUUGACAACUGCAUAGAUUAUUUUUUUGAAGACAAUAAGCAUCUUUUAUGAUGCAGAUUUAUUAUUUGUGCGAAUGCAUUAAUAACAAUUCUAUUAAGCUGAUGCUUCAAUUUUGAAGUUAUUGGUCAAGCUACAAAGGGCUCACGGAGGAUA
rnacentral:misc_RNA from 1 species